rnacentral:snRNA from 1 species
AGCCUCAGAAAGUGGAGGUA